AGUCGAACGGUCUCUUCGGAGGCAGUGGCAGACGGGUGAGUAACGCGUGGGAAUCUACCUAUCUCUACGGAACAACAGUUGGAAACGACUGCUAAUACCGUAUACGCCCUUAGGGGGAAAGAUUUAUCGGAGAUAGAUGAGCCCGCGUUAGAUUAGCUAGUUGGUGAGGUAAUGGCUCACCAAGGCGACGAUCUAUAGCUGGUCUGAGAGGAUGAUCAGCCACACUGGGACUGAGACACGGCCCAGACUCCUACGGGAGGCAGCAGUGGGGAAUAUUGGACAAUGGGCGCAAGCCUGAUCCAGCCAUGCCGCGUGUGUGAUGAAGGCCCUAGGGUUGUAAAGCACUUUCAACGGUGAAGAUAAUGACGGUAACCGUAGAAGAAGCCCCGGCUAACUUCGUGCCAGCAGCCGCGGUAAUACGAAGGGGGCUAGCGUUGUUCGGAAUUACUGGGCGUAAAGCGUACGUAGGCGGACUAUUAAGUUAGGGGUGAAAUCCCAGGGCUCAACCCUGGAACUGCCUCUAAUACUGGUAGUCUUGAGUUCGAGAGAGGUGAGUGGAAUUCCGAGUGUAGAGGUGAAAUUCGUAGAUAUUCGGAGGAACACCAGUGGCGAAGGCGGCUCACUGGCUCGAUACUGACGCUGAGGUACGAAAGUG
rnacentral:rRNA from 1 species